CCGGAGGGUUCUCUGUUACUGCGGCUCAUCCAAGACCCUGCAAAGACCCCCCGCCCCGCGCUCGUCACUGCGGUCCCCAGACGGGAGGCAGGAGCGGUGCAAGCUUCAGCCCCACCUCCCCGCCCAGUUGCUCAAAUUCCCUCCUUUCUUUUUGCUGGUUGCCAAAAUUUCAAUUUAACACCUCACCAGAGAAGACACGCAGGCGUCCACGUCAUCAGGGAAUGAGAGUGAAGACGACGACGACACCACCGCGCACCCGUGAGGACGGCCACACCCCAGAACGCCGACAACGCGGAUCGCUGGCGGGGACGCGGAGGGACGGGCGCCUCCUCCCUGCCGCUGGGAGAGCAGAGCGGUGCCGCCGCCUCGCAAGACGGUUGGCUGGGUUCUCACAAAACUGAACACGCUCUGACCACACGACCCCGCGAUCACGCUCCUGGAGGUCUGCCCGGAGGAGGUGACCAUCCACAUCUGCAUGACACCUGCACACAGAUGCUCACAGCAGCUUCGUCCAUAACUGCCAGACCCGGGAGCCACAAGGUGCCCUCCGGGAGGGGACGGGCAGGUACGCCGGUGCCUCCCGACACCGGGACGUAGGCAGCGCCAAGAAGAAACGGGCCGUCAGCCACGAAAGACACGGAGGAACCUUAAAUGCAGAGUCUGGCAGAAAUGAAGAGUUCAGCAAAACCGCGUUCCUGCCUCACUCUGUGAGCGUGGGCUGCACCUUGCGGCGCCCUGCAAGAGGCCGGGGCGGCAGGGGAGCGAACAGCAGUAGCGGUAGAGCGGGAAAACUGACCCACACGACCCCGGCCGGCUGCUCCAGGUCAACAUCGAAGGGAUGAGCCCCGCUGAGCGUGUGCCCCCCGGAUGGCCCCUGGAAACAACCCACGCUCUGGGUCGAGGACUGAGACAAACACCAGGUAAAUUCCAACAGAGCGACAUUCUACAAAAUCCCUGACCCGUACUCCUCCAAGCGGUCAAGGUCAAGACCAAGGAUAGUCUAAGAAACUGUCAGUGACAAAGACCCGAAAGAGCCUGAGGGUUGAAUGUAACGUGUGCCAAGAUGGGAU